rnacentral:lncRNA from 1 species
AUGGCUGGUCGUGUAGAGGGAACGUGGAGAGAUGUGCACAGAUUGAGCAUCCUGAGAGAGAGAAGGAGAAGAUGCUCAUGCACACAUGCGUCUGGAGCGAUGCGGAGCACUAAACUCUCAUCUUUAGCAAUAUGCCUACUUUUGUUCCAAAGCGCGCAUGCUUACAACGAUGACUUGAGUCAUGAAGCCUCUGGAUCAUUUUGGGAUGCGGCCACAUCACCCUCCUCAACCCAUUUGUUUGGCGGCUUCCAUAUGACAGACAAGAAUCCAGCUUCUGUAGUCCAAUCAGAUCCCACAGGCUCUUCAAAGGGUAGCAGGGAACAACCUGCAUUUUCCUCUGUACUCACAUUACUUGCCAGCACAGCCCAGAAGCCUCCCAAACUGUCAUCAAAAGUUGUUGCACGUGGCAAUGAAACACAUCAAUGGCCUUCUAAUGGAUCUUUGGAACGAGUGGAGCCAUUUACUCUUCCAUCGUCUGUGCUGGUCAGCAACCAAUCCAAUAACUCAGAGUUUCAAUGGAUAUCUGAGCUGGAGGCACCUGCAGCCUCUAGAGCUGCAGACCCUGAUUCUAGCAGAUUGAUUUCACCUGAGCAGAAAAACACUGCUGCACCCAAUAGAUCUUCAGCUACAUCUGUGGACACACAACGAGAACGACCAGACAUUGCAACCACUAUUGUAUCUCAACCUACAGUAUUUAACAGCAAUACUGUUACCACAACCAGCAUCCCCUUUACAACAACAACAAACCAGAUUAGCACUACCCAAUCAUCUGCUGCUAACGACACUCCAAAACACCCAGGACUUCUAUAAGAACUACAACUACACAAAUUGAAA